GAUUCAUGCCUUCAUUGAAAGUGUCAAGUAUGGCUGUGUCGUGUUAUCGUGUAUGUUCGUGAAUCGUGAUAACGUUAACUGUCGAGUUUGCCUUGGAGGAUGUGACGUCUUUUGCUUCUGCCAGUCAUAUUACUUCUAAUCAUUUCAAGCAACAUGUUAUACCCAUCAUACCUUCACAUGAAAGGACUGCUCUUACAUCCCACGAAAGACUCCCCAGUUGGAGUGAACAAAACUCGAUUUAGGAAAUGAUAUCCAAUCAAUGAGGACAUCUCAAAGGAACAGAGAUUCAGGACUGGAUUAUAUCAUGCUCGCGAUCAGUAUGCUGUCGACCUUGAAGUUACUUAUAACAGCUUGGGAGUCGGUGGAACAAAAUAAGAACGAGUACGAUUUACGAGAAUUCUCUAGACGGUCUUCACGACAUAUCUUCAUGACCCUGCAGCAGCUACGUAGCCCCACGUGAGGUUAUGCCUGUCAAGUAAUCAAUGUCAUUUAAGCUCGACUCUAUCUUGGCCUUUUUCUUUUGACUUACGGUCGACAAUCAAAAAGGCGUGCCUUGUUUUUCGGAAAGAAUAGUAUGGACAGCGUGCCCUGGUCAGUUAAUCGAGCCUGGCGUCAUCCAACACUCGAGGAAAGCAGAAGGACGAUCCACAGCUCCCCGGCCGAAUUGCACUGGAGCGAGUCGACGAAGUAGCCAGCAUCCUUCUGAACUCAAUUCAAAGUCUUUUCGAUGUCCAACUUUGCUAAUGGCGGGUCCGCGAUUGCUGUCGCUUCUUGAUUAGAAAUCAAACUUGUGGCUUGUGCCUCAUGACUGUUCUUUUGUGGUUUCAAGGCGACCGAAAAGAAAUAACACUGGGCGGUGUUAAGCGAUAGAUGUUUUUUUUUUUUUCGUAACAACUUCUGGAGGCUUAUUGCAUUCUUCAAAGCCUUCUUUUGAUUUCUGUCAAAUCAAGAAGGGGGACCAUCGGCAUUCAGCUUUCUACGUUGGAAAUAUGUUCCGCCAGUUUUCUGUUUCUUCCGGCUCUCUACUACGGAUGUUUUUAUUCGAUGCUGGCGGUCAAUUCUUUCAACCCGGAACUUUCGUCAUUCAAUAACUCAACAUUUCAUCGUUUAAUAACUC